rnacentral:rRNA from 1 species
UAAAGCUCCGGCGGAGACGGAUUGGCUCGCGUGACAUUAGCUGGACGGCGGGGUAACGGCCCACCGUGGCUACGAUGUCUAGGGGUUCUGAGAGGAAGGUCCCCCACACUGGAACUGAGACACGGUCCAGACUCCUACGGGAGGCAGCAGUGAGGAAUAUUGGUCAAUGGGCGGGAGCCUGAACCAGCCAUGCCGCGUGAAGGCGAGUGCCCUACGGGCGUUAAACUUCUUUUGUGCGGGAGCAAUAAGGGCCACGCGUGGCCCGAUGAGAGUACCGCACGAAUAAGCAUCGGCUAACUCCGUGCCAGCAGCCGCGGUAAUACGGGGGAUGCGAGCGUUAUCCGGAUUUAUUGGGUUUAAAGGGUGCGUAGGCGGCGCUUCAGGUCAGCGGUGAAAUACCGGGGCUCAACCCCGGGGCUGCCGUUGAAACCGGAGCGCUAGAAUUCCGAUGCCGUCGGAGGAAUGUGUGGUGUAGCGGUGAAAUGCAUAGAUAUCACACAGAACACCGAUUGCGAAGGCAUCUGACGAAUCGGAGAUUGACGCUGAUGCACGAAAGCGUGGGUAUCGAACAGGAUUAGAUACCCUGGUAGUCCACGCUGUAAACGAUGAUGACUAGCCGUCGGCGAUACAGUGUCG